UACAGAGGGGGCAAGCGUUGUUCGGAAUUACUGGGCGGAAAGGGCGCGUAGGCGGCCUGCUAAGUCGAACGUGAAAUCCCUGGGCUCAACCCAGGAACUGCGUCCGAUACUGGUUGGCUUGAAUCCGGGAGAGGGAUGCGGAAUUCCAGGUGUAGCGGUGAAAUGCGUAGAUAUCUGGAGGAACACCGGUGGCGAAGGCGACAUCCUGGACCGGUAUUGACGCUGAGGCGUGAAAGCCAGGGGAGCAAACGGG
rnacentral:rRNA from 1 species